GAGCAUCAUGCAUCGUUACACCCCCCACCGUGCACCUUCACGCUCAUGCGCAGCACUGUGCAUGCUUGGGGUGUGAUGAUUUGAAACUU
rnacentral:pre_miRNA from 1 species